ACGAUCGUUACGAUGGACGGUAAAGAUGGCGGAUUGACGUUUGUGUUUAGUAGGAAUGGCAUUUGAAAGUGAAAAGGAAAAAAAGGAAUAGUGAAGUGCCGUGCUGUUUAAAGUAACGUUAAUAGGAGCGAAAGACAUGAAAUAAUAGUUUGCAGAUAAGAAGAAGAUAUGGAGUUCAGUGGCAUCCAACUGAAGGAAUUGCUGUGUGUCGUGAUGAAGAUUCCGUUCAAAUGUGACCUGUGUUACAAGCGCCCAGGGAGUCUAGCCCCUUGCAUAGUGACUGCAGGAAGCUUCUUUAUAGGUGCUUAUUUUGAGUUGGUGCACAGCAAAUGAACAUAAGGAUAUCAGCCUGGGUCAGUUGUGGAGUGUGAAUUGGGGUUUACUCAGAGAAGGAUGGCCUUCACACUUUCUGAAAAUCAAAUUUGGGAAAUCAUUAUAUGAAAGAAAGUUGUGGAGAACACUGGGAAGCUUAUGGAUGGCUUCACACUGGAGAGGAUAUGUAUGGGGGUGCCACAAAAUUUAAUUUCUCAGGAGAUAGUGCGCACAAAGGGCUUCAAUUUCUGCCAGCACCACAUUUCUUCAAGAACUUCUGCUUUUUGUCUUCCUUGUAAGUUGCUAGUAUGCAUGUGAUGCUACACUGUAUUUAUAUAUAAUGCACAGGCAGUGUACAUGUGCACAUAUUUAUGAAGUUUCAAGAAUGUAAUCAAAUUUUAAAUUAUAUAAUUCACAAAAAUGUAUUAUGUAUACACAGUUAUUACUCUUCAAGAAUGUAAUGAAGUUCAAAAGAAAGGAAAUGGAAAAAAGUACUAGAGGAUUAUAAAGGAGAAAGAGGAGGAGCAUAAAUGGAGGAAAAGAUGCUGGGAAAAACUGAAGUACAUUCUGCGCACUAUCUCGUAGAAAAUGAAAUUCCGUGGCACACUCGUACAUGUCCUCCUCCACGCCAGAACUCCGAUACCUCUCAUCGUCCUCCCUGCAAUGCAAAAAUAAAAAUCUCACAUUAGUUUUCAUUAUCCUCUACAAAAUAAAAUUACAUAAAAUUUCCCUCAAUAAUUACAGCUAUUUAUCACAAAUACCAUUGGCUUCUUUCAGCCAUCUUCUGGGGACUCUCACCACACGCUGUUUUUAAACUUCAGCAUGUAUGGCAGUCCCUGAAGAUCACUAAAAGUAACCAAUACGUGAUAUAGUUGCACCUGAUACAGUGAAAUGCUGAGUACAAUAGAACUCACUCAACAUGUAUAAAUACAGAAGCACACAUCUACUUUCAAUUUAAUAUUCAGACAUGUUUAUAACUUCAAUUUACCUUUUUUCCUCAAUCCUGCAUGCCAAGGUUGCCCCGUGUUAAUACUGCACGUGGACCUGGUCACCUGCAAAGCAAAAUAUUAAGUUACUGGAUCAUAAUGUACAGCAAAAUUAAUUUUAAUAAUUAUUUCAGAAAUCAGUGUCUGUGGUUGGAACUGAACACCAGGCUGAUACAUUAAUCACUAGACCACUGGGGUGGCUCAGGGACUCUUGUCAUUACUCUUCACUUAUGUUACACACAUGGUUACUCCCGCUCUCAUAGUGGGGAGAGCCACAUCGACACUUGGUUGGCUGAUGUGAGGAUCACCAGGAAACCGUAACUCUCUGGAGUCAUCAGAACAGGCCCUCAACCAACCACAGACAUAACUUCCAUGUGGCUUCCCCACUAUUAGACUCAUAGUAACCAAAUGUGUAAUGUAAGUAGAUUUACAAUUCCUGGGUCACUCCACUGGUCAGCUUACUGGCCUUGGGUUCAAAAUCUUUAUGUUAAAUUAGCAAUAAUAAAAGUAUCUUGUUAUAAUUACAACUAAUCAUGCCAAGAUGAUAAUACAGUCAGUUCCCAAAACACUGUGCAUAUCAAAUACCUCAGACAGUCCAAAAUAAGCCUGUCACAUCUGGAUUUUGAAGCUGGUAAUUCCAUACACCUUGCAUUACAACCAUUACUGGUGCCCAGCCAUCCUGAGGGGCAUGGCCUCCCACUCCACCCAUAUAACAUUCAUGUUCACAAAUAUUAUGUUUUUGAAAAUUAUCCAUCGCCUUGUCUUUAUAUAAAAACUGUCCUCUUUAUUUUUCAAAACAGAAUUUUUAGAUAAAGACAAGACCAUGGAUAAUGUCCAAAAAUAUAAUAUUUGUAUUAAUAUAUGAGGGCAAAUUGAAAAGUCUUUGCCCAUUUUUUUUUU